UACGGAGGGGGCGAGUGUUGUUCGGAAUUACUGGGCGUAAAGGGCGCGCCGGCGGCUUGGCAAGUCGAGUGUGAAAUACCUCAGCUUAACUGAGGAAUGGCGCUCGAAACUACCUCGCUAGAGGGCGGGAGAGGGAAGUGGAACUCUCGGUGUAGGGGUGAAAUCUGUAGAUAUCGAGAGGAACACCGGUGGCGAAGGCGGCUUCCUGGCCCGUACCUGACGCUGAGGCGCGAAAGCGUGGGUAGCAAACAGG
rnacentral:rRNA from 1 species